rnacentral:rRNA from 1 species
UACGGAGGGUGCGAGCGUUGUCCGGAAUCACUGGGCGUAAAGGGCGCGUAGGCGGCGCGGGUAGUCAUCGGUGAAAGUUCAGGGCUCAACUCUGAAUCGGCCGGUGAUACUCCCGUGCUCGAGCACUGUAGAGGCAGGUGGAAUUCCGGGUGUAGCGGUGGAAUGCGUAGAGAUCCGGAAGAGCACCGGUGGCGAAGGCGGCCUGCUGGGCAGUAGCUGACGCUGAUGCGCGACAGCGUGGGGAGCAAACAGG